UCAAGUUCUGAGCAUGGAGUCCAGCCACCAGGAAGAGGCUGGAGGCACCACCCAUGAGACUCAGUCUCUGGCAGUUAAGACAAAGCCCUUUUAAUAACACCGCUAACGCCAUCCCUGGUCAAAUCCAUGACUUAUGAGAGGUAGGAAAAGUAGGGUGAGCCAGGUAAGGACAAAAUGUGACCGGCACCAAAGACAAAAGCCCGGUGCCAGGUUUCAUCCUGUGUCCCAGGAAACUGUCAGUAGGGACAGGUGGAGCAAGGAUUGUAGCCUUAUCCAUGAGGUGAUGGCCCCCUCAUCAGAGCAAGCACCCUUCACAACCAUCAUUCAUUCAUUUCUAUGGGUUGUUGCCCUGACUUUUCUCGGUCAAGUUCCUUCCGGAGUUCCAACAUAGACCUAAGAAGGGAAAUGUACAUUACACCUCUGCCAGGAGAGAGGGGGUGCCAGGAGCUGAGCAUAAGACUGGUGGCAGGAUCCAGAAAAGCAAGAGCUGUUGGGAGAAGCCCAGCAGGGCCCACUCUGUCCAUGGUGGGUCCUGUUCAUCUACCUGACUGCUGCAGGCCAAAAGUUGUCAUGGGUGUGAAAUGCAGACUGGCUCCUCACUGCAUCCCACAUACCGCAUCGCUGAGGAAUCCGCUUUCCAAUCUGAGCUCCUAUCUGAAGUUCACAUCGUUACAGUGAGAAAAACUGGAUACUGCAGAACAACAUGUGGUCUGUGGUGCUACCCAUAUGCAACCCUUAGUCUUCUAGUUUCAGAGAAGCCUCCUGCAGUGAAAAUACAUCCCCCUCCCAUAUGCCUGCACACAGGAGCCAGGACGCACAGGAGCCAGGACGUGUAGUCUCUCCUUUAAAAAAAAAAAAAAAAAAACACAACACAACACAACACAACACAACAAAACCCAAACCUUAUUUAGAUGUAAUUGUGAGGUCUUUCUUUUAGAGAUGACACAACCUUCUUGUCCCUCUGUCACCGCCAAGCCUCCUGAGCAUAUCCAGGCUUUCUGGGCUCCUCCCAUACCAAGCUGGGAAGAAUCACCCUUCGGAGCUGCUGUGCUCUGCUCUCAUUGCUCAAACGAGUCAGCGGUCCUCCACUGCCUGCAGCACAAAAUCCAAGCUCUUCAGUGUAGCAUCCGAGAGCUACUGACCAUGAGAAGCAGCCCCUACGCAGAUCCUCCUUCCCAGACAGAGUCAACAGGCUCCAGGAUGUCAGGCUGUCCAAAUUCCAGACCUCCAUUCCCUGGACCCACUAACCUGGAGCCCACCUAGGGCUGUUUCCUCACCUGUCAAAUGGGGUCAUAACUGUAGCAACCUCAUCAGAUUUUUGUGAGAGGUGAUUGUGUGUGUGUGUGUGUGUGUGUGUGGCACGGAGUGGGCAUCCAGCAUGGCACGUGGCCACUGUCUCCAAGCACUGGGUACUGCCCGGAACCUUGUACAGGAAUCUGCAUUGACAUCAAGUAAGAAAGGACAGUCCUUCUGUCCCCAUACGUAACACAGGAAAGGGUUUCUAGCGGAUCUGGUGAUCCUUUCCUAGGAAUUAGAUGCACAUGUGAUUUACUAGGUUUGACUUUUCCCCCUCGUGGACAAUUUGCUUUUUUUUUACUUGGAGAUCUCUGCAUCUCCAUGGAGAUGCCCAGGCCCUCUGUUCUCUUACUAUAAUAGAAGAGAUGUCUCUGUUUGAUGGAAGGCCAGGCCCCAUCUCAGAUUUUGGAACCCAGAUCUUUCCCUGGUUGACUAUGUAGGUUCCUAACUAUCCCAGAGCAUCAGGCAUGAAGAGGACAUCCACAUUCCCUAUACUUUUUUAAUACUCAGUUUAAGCUCUUAUGAAUCAAAUUUCACAAAUCUUUCUUUUCACAUCUAAAACACAGCUACAAAUAAUGUAAUUCUCUUCAACAACUUAACCUGUUAUAAAUAGGGCAUGGUUAGUUAUUGCAAACACCUCAGCACAGAAAGCAUGUACUAAUUUCUCACCAAAUAUCAUCAUCAUUGGGUCGACUGGGGGGCUCAAUCAGCUUUUGGCUCAGGUCCGCACAUCGGGCUUCCUGCUCAGCAGGGCGUCUGCUUCUCCCUCUGCCUCUUCUUCUCCCCCUGCCUGUGCUCUCCCCCAAAUAAAAAAAUAAUAUAUUUUUUUUAA